AACGAACGCUGGCGGCAUGCCUAACACAUGCAAGUCGAACGAGACCUUCGGGUCUAGUGGCGCACGGGUGCGUAACGCGUGGGAACCUGCCCUUAGGUUCGGAAUAACUUCCCGAAAGGGGUGCUAAUACCAGAUAAUGUCUUCGGACCAAAGAUUUAUCGCCUUUGGUUUGGCCCGCGUUGGAUUAGCUAGUUGGUGGGGUAAUGGCCUACCAAGCCGACGAUCAAUAGCUGGUCUGAGAGGAUGGUCAGCCACACUGGGAAUGAGACACGGCCCAGACUCCUACGGGAGGCAGCAGUGGGGAAUAUGGGACAAGGGGGGCAACCUUGAUCCAGCCAUGCCGCGUGAGUGAAGAAGGCCUUGGGGUUGUAAAGCUCUUUCGACGGGGACGAUGAUGACGGUACCCGUAUAAGAAGCCCCGGCAAACUGCGU
rnacentral:rRNA from 1 species